rnacentral:rRNA from 1 species
GAUGAACGCUGGCGGCGUGCCUAAUACAUGCAAGUCGAGCGAACAGAUGAGGAGCUUGCUCCUCUGACGUUAGCGGCGGACGGGUGAGUAACACGUGGAUAACCUACCUAUAAGACUGGGAUAACUUCGGGAAACCGGAGCUAAUACCGGAUAAUAUAUUGAACCGCAUGGUUCAAUAGUGAAAGACGGUUUUGCUGUCACUUAUAGAUGGAUCCGCGCCGCAUUGGCUAGUUGGUAAGGUAACGGCUUACCAAGGCAACGAUGCGUAGCCGACCUGAGAGGAUGAUCGGCCACACUGGAACUGAGACACGGUCCAGACUCCUACGGGAGGCAGCAGUAGGGAAUCUUCCGCAAUGGGCGAAAGCCUGACGGAGCAACGCCGCGUGAGUGAUGAAGGUCUUCGGAUCGUAAAACUCUGUUAUUAGGGAAGAACAAAUGUGUAAGUAACUAUGCACGUCUUGACGGUACCUAAUCAGAAAGCCACGGCUAACUACGUG